GACGAACGCUGGCGGCGUGCUUAACACAUGCAAGUCGAACGGAAAGGCCCUGCUUUUGCGGGGUGCUCGAGUGGCGAACGGGUGAGUAACACGUGAGUAACCUGCCCUUGACUUUGGGAUAACUUCAGGAAACUGGGGCUAAUACCGGAUAGGAGCUCCUGCUGCACGGUGGGGGUUGGAAAGUUUCGGCGGUUGGGGAUGGACGCGCGGCUCAUCAGCUUGUUGGCGGGGUAGUGGCUUACCAAGGCUUUGACGGGUAGCCGGCCUGAGAGGGUGACCGGGGACAUUGGGACUGGGGUACGGCGCAGAGUCCUACGGGAGGCAGCAGUGGGGAAGAUUGCGCAGUGGGCGGGAGCCUGAUGCAGCGGCGCCGCGUGCGGGAUGACGGCCUUCGGGUUGUAAACCGCUUUGGCCUGUGACGAAGCGUGAGUGACGGUAAUGGGUAAAGAAGCACCGGCUAACUACGUG
rnacentral:rRNA from 1 species